rnacentral:rRNA from 1 species
GGACGGAGAAGGCUAUGUUGGCCGGGCGACGGUUGUCCCGGUUUAAGCGUGUAGGUGUGUGUUCCAGGUAAAUCCGGUUCACUUUAACACUGAGGCGUGACGACGAGGCACUACGGUGCUGAAGCAACAAAUGCCCUGCUUCCAGGAAAAGCCUCUAAGCAUCAGGUAACAUCAAAUCGUACCCCAAACCGACACAGGUGGUCAGG